UCCGUUGUAGUCUAGUUGGUCAGGAUAUUCGGCUCUCACCCGAAAGACCCGGGUUCAAAUCCCGGCAACGGAA
rfam:Lupinus angustifolius cultivar Tanjil chromosome LG18, whole genome shotgun sequence.